UACGAAGGGGGCUAGCGUUGUUCGGAAUUACUGGGCGUAAAGCGUGCGCAGGCGGCUUCUCAAGUCAGGGGUGAAAUCCCGGAGCUCAACUCCGGAACUGCCUUUGAUACUGAGGGUCUUGAGUCCGGGAGAGGUGAGUGGAACUGCGAGUGUAGAGGUGAAAUUCGUAGAUAUUCGCAAGAACACCAGUGGCGAAGGCGGCCAACUGGGCUGCAACUGACGCUGAGGCGCGAAAGCGUGGGGAUCAAACAGG
rnacentral:rRNA from 1 species